rnacentral:snoRNA from 1 species
CCACAAAUAUUCUCGCUGUUCUGAUUUUGUAAUAAUCAGGGCAGGCUAAACAUUCUCUAUAUAAGACCGUGCGUGUGUCCUCAGACCUAGUUCUUUCCCUUCCCUAGCUCUGGUGUUAUCAAUACUGGUGAUGAAC